rnacentral:rRNA from 1 species
AUUGAACGCUGGCGGCAUGCCUUACACAUACAAGUCGAACGGCAGCACGGACUUCGGUCUGGUGGCGAGUGGCGAACGGGUGAGUAAUGUAUCGGAACGUACCUUUCAGUGGGGGAUAACGUAGCGAAAGUUACGCUAAUACCGCAUAUUCUGUGAGCAGGAAAGCAGGGGAUCGCAAGACCUUGCGCUGAUUGAGCGGCCGAUAUCAGAUUAGCUAGUUGGUGGGGUAAAGGCCUACCAAGGCUACGAUCUGUAGCGGGUCUGAGAGGAUGAUCGCCACACUGGAACUGAGACACGGUCCAGACUCCUACGGGAGGCAGCAGUGGGAAUUUUGGACAAGUGGGGGCAACCCUGAUCCAGCCAUGCCGCGUGAGUGAAGAAGGCCUCGGUUGUAA